CCUGGGGAGGCUGUUUGAUGAGCCAAGGUUUCCUUUAAGAGGCUCUUCCCCUCCUGGUCUGAGGAUUCCCCAGGUACAGCCUCCUGCAACCAGGUGAAAUCACUGCCAAACCAUGUCAAGUGCCUCCUCUCAACACAGUCUGCUUUGACAGAGGCUUAAUAAACCAGAGUGACUUAGCUGCUCUAAUCUCUGCUUCUAAGUCAUUCUAUCUACUCCAUUAAUCACCUCUAUCGACACUCCUCCAGGUCUCCAGAGAGGUUCCACUUCUUUCUGGUAAUGGGCUUCUCCAGACUGCAGACCAGACUUUCAACUUCAGGACUCCCAUCUCUGGCUCUCAUCCAAGUCCUGUAAAGGCAAAGUCCUGCAUCCCGGGAGUCCCCACCCAAUGCUCCUCCACACCGUGGGGGACGGGAGGGUCAGGCAAGGUCAUCAGCCACUCUGAGGCAGCCCAUUCAGCACAGAAGGCAUUUCAUGUGGCACGUGAAUGGUCCUUGUCCUGAUGUUCACCUCCAAAUAAGCAAAAGCCUCUGCAACUGAAGCCUCUGCAAAAUCCCAUGGGGCUUAAGCCCAGCUGAUACAGAAAGCGUCAUAACCCAGGUGUCCCAACACGGGGGGCAGAGUGCAGAAGGAGAACGAGGAUUGAGGUGACCCACGCUCCCUCACCAGUUGGCUGUGCGCCCCGAGACCAAGAACUGCAUCCUUCACCCUGCACGAGCCAGAUGGAGGAGCAGUGCCCUUCAGGCUUGGCACGAUGCAGCCACAGGGCCCAUCAUGCCCACCUGAGCAAAGCCAGUUGAAAAGGGCCACUCUUGCCCCUGAUCCAGCCGGGUCCUCUCUUACCAC